GGCCCCGUAGCUCAGUGGAUAGAGUGUUCGUUUCCGGAGCGAAAAGUCCCAGGUUCGAACCCUGGCUGGGUCG
rnacentral:tRNA from 2 species